rnacentral:rRNA from 1 species
GACGAACGCUGGCGGCGUGCUUAACACAUGCAAGUCGAACGGAAAGGCCCUGCUUUUGUGGGGUGCUCGAGUGGCGAACGGGUGAGUAACACGUGAGUAACCUGCCCUUGACUUUGGGAUAACUUCAGGAAACUGGGGCUAAUACCGGAUAGGAGCUCCUGCUGCAUGGUGGGGGUUGGAAAGUUUCGGCGGUUGGGGAUGGACUCGCGGCUUAUCAGCUUGUUGGUGGGGUAGUGGCUUACCAAGGGUUUGACGGGUAGCCGGCCUGAGAGGGUGACCGGCCACAUUGGGACUGAGAUACGGCCCAGAAUCCUACGGGAGGCAGCAGUGGGGAAUAUUGCACAAUGGGCGGAAGCCUGAUGCAGCAACGCCGCGUGCGGGAUGACGGCCUUCGGGUUGUAAACCGCUUUCGCCUGUGACGAAGCGUGAGUGACGGUAAUGGAUAAAGAAGCACCGGCUAACUACGUG